UUAAGCGACUAAGCGUACACGGUGGAUGCCCUGGCAGUCAGAGGCGAUGAAGGACGUGCUAAUCUGCGAUAAGCGUCGGUAAGGUGAUAUGAACCGUUAUAACCGGCGAUUUCCGAAUGGGGAAACCCAGUGUGAUUCGUCACACUAUCAUUAACUGAAUCCAUAGGUUAAUGAGGCGAACCGGGGGAACUGAAACAUCUAAGUACCCCGAGGAAAAGAAAUCAACCGAGAUUCCCCCAGUAGCGGCGAGCGAACGGGGAGGAGCCCAGAGCCUGAAUCAGUGUGUGUGUUAGUGGAAGCGUCUGGAAAGGCGCGCGAUACAGGGUGACAGCCCCGUACACAAAAAUGCACAUACUGUGAGCUCGAUGAGUAGGGCGGGACACGUGGUAUCCUGUCUGAAUAUGGGGGGACCAUCCUCCAAGGCUAAAUACUCCUGACUGACCGAUAGUGAACCAGUACCGUGAGGGAAAGGCGAAAAGAACCCCGGCGAGGGGAGUGAAAAAGAACCUGAAACCGUGUACGUACAAGCAGUGGGAGCCUCUUUAUGGGGUGACUGCGUACCUUUUGUAUAAUGGGUCAGCGACUUAUAUUCUGUAGCAAGGUUAACCGAAUAGGGGAGCCGAAGGGAAACCGAGUCUUAACUGGGCGUUAAGUUGCAGGGUAUAGACCCGAAACCCGGUGAUCUAGCCAUGGGCAGGUUGAAGGUUGGGUAACACUAACUGGAGGACCGAACCGACUAAUGUUGAAAAAUUAGCGGAUGACUUGUGGCUGGGGGUGAAAGGCCAAUCAAACCGGGAGAUAGCUGGUUCUCCCCGAAAGCUAUUUAGGUAGCGCCUCGUGAAUUCAUCUCCGGGGGUAGAGCACUGUUUCGGCAAGGGGGUCAUCCCGACUUACCAACCCGAUGCAAACUGCGAAUACCGGAGAAUGUUAUCACGGGAGACACACGGCGGGUGCUAACGUCCGUCGUGAAGAGGGAAACAACCCAGACCGCCAGCUAAGGUCCCAAAGUCAUGGUUAAGUGGGAAACGAUGUGGGAAGGCCCAGACAGCCAGGAUGUUGGCUUAGAAGCAGCCAUCAUUUAAAGAAAGCGUAAUAGCUCACUGGUCGAGUCGGCCUGCGCGGAAGAUGUAACGGGGCUAAACCAUGCACCGAAGCUGCGGCAGCGACACUAUGUGUUGUUGGGUAGGGGAGCGUUCUGUAAGCCUGUGAAGGUGUACUGUGAGGUAUGCUGGAGGUAUCAGAAGUGCGAAUGCUGACAUAAGUAACGAUAAAGCGGGUGAAAAGCCCGCUCGCCGGAAGACCAAGGGUUCCUGUCCAACGUUAAUCGGGGCAGGGUGAGUCGACCCCUAAGGCGAGGCCGAAAGGCGUAGUCGAUGGGAAACAGGUUAAUAUUCCUGUACUUGGUGUUACUGCGAAGGGGGGACGGAGAAGGCUAUGUUGGCCGGGCGACGGUUGUCCCGGUUUAAGCGUGUAGGCUGGUUUUCCAGGCAAAUCCGGAAAAUCAAGGCUGAGGCGUGAUGACGAGGCACUACGGUGCUGAAGCAACAAAUGCCCUGCUUCCAGGAAAAGCCUCUAAGCAUCAGGUAACAUUAAAUCGUACCCCAAACCGACACAGGUGGUCAGGUAGAGAAUACCAAGGCGCUUGAGAGAACUCGGGUGAAGGAACUAGGCAAAAUGGUGCCGUAACUUCGGGAGAAGGCACGCUGAUAUGUAGGUGAAGCGACUUGCUCGUGGAGCUGAAAUCAGUCGAAGAUACCAGCUGGCUGCAACUGUUUAUUAAAAACACAGCACUGUGCAAACACGAAAGUGGACGUAUACGGUGUGACGCCUGCCCGGUGCCGGAAGGUUAAUUGAUGGGGUUAGCGGUAACGCGAAGCUCUUGAUCGAAGCCCCGGUAAACGGCGGCCGUAACUAUAACGGUCCUAAGGUAGCGAAAUUCCUUGUCGGGUAAGUUCCGACCUGCACGAAUGGCGUAAUGAUGGCCAGGCUGUCUCCACCCGAGACUCAGUGAAAUUGAACUCGCUGUGAAGAUGCAGUGUACCCGCGGCAAGACGGAAAGACCCCGUGAACCUUUACUAUAGCUUGACACUGAACAUUGAGCCUUGAUGUGUAGGAUAGGUGGGAGGCUUUGAAGUGUGGACGCCAGUCUGCAUGGAGCCGGCCUUGAAAUACCACCCUUUAAUGUUUGAUGUUCUAACGUUGGCCCCUGACCGGGGUUGCGGACAGUGUCUGGUGGGUAGUUUGACUGGGGCGGUCUCCUCCUAAAGAGUAACGGAGGAGCACGAAGGUUGGCUAAUCCUGGUCGGACAUCAGGAGGUUAGUGCAAUGGCAUAAGCCAGCUUGACUGCGAGCGUGACGGCGCGAGCAGGUGCGAAAGCAGGUCAUAGUGAUCCGGUGGUUCUGAAUGGAAGGGCCAUCGCUCAACGGAUAAAAGGUACUCCGGGGAUAACAGGCUGAUACCGCCCAAGAGUUCAUAUCGACGGCGGUGUUUGGCACCUCGAUGUCGGCUCAUCACAUCCUGGGGCUGAAGUAGGUCCCAAGGGUAUGGCUGUUCGCCAUUUAAAGUGGUACGCGAGCUGGGUUUAGAACGUCGUGAGACAGUUCGGUCCCUAUCUGCCGUGGGCGCUGGAGAACUGAGGGGGGCUGCUCCUAGUACGAGAGGACCGGAGUGGACGCAUCACUGGUGUUCGGGUUGUCAUGCCAAUGGCACUGCCCGGUAGCUAAAUGCGGAAGAGAUAAGUGCUGAAAGCAUCUAAGCACGAAACUUGCCCCGAGAUGAGUUCUCCCUGACUCCUUGAGAGUCCUGAAGGAACGUUGAAGACGACGACGUUGAUAGGCCGGGUGUGUAAGCGCAGCGAUGCGUUGAGCUAACCGGUACUAAUGAACCGUGAGGCUUAACCUU
rnacentral:rRNA from 1 species